CCUGUAGGACCAUAAUAUAUGUGGUUAUGUGAUAUGUGUCAAAUCUACGCAGUUUUUGUGAAACUGGACUCAAAAUAGGUGCGGUUUGGUCAAAUUAUUUUUUAUUCCUGAACCGAUCGACACUCUGAUAACCAUGAAUUUGUUCCUGAUAAAUUGUGUUUACCUGUGCUAAGUUUCUAUAGAAUUUUUCACUGUGAUCUUCUGCACAAUUCUUGGAUUGGUGUGCCUGCUCUGAUUCUUCAUGUGACGCAUUGAAAUUUACAAGCAAUCGAAGCAACUACAAUUCUAAGCCGUCUAUGAAAUAUGGUUGUCUCGCUAACUAUGUGCAACUCAUGCACACUGGCGUGUACAAGAUCAAAGUGUCAUCUUGACCGUGCGUUGUCAAAGCCUCGGGAUUCGUGCGCGCUCUCCUGUAGGAAGAUCGUGUCCCUCCGAUGCCUCGCCGCCUCGAGAUGACCGACCCGGUCCACCGAGCAGUCCGUCGACCACCGCGGCGUCGGCUCGUCGGCGCACCGGUGCACCGUGACGCGCACCUCCGCCUCGCCGGCCGAGUGGCGACCGGGG
rnacentral:lncRNA from 1 species